rnacentral:pre_miRNA from 10 species
AACCACAUUAUCAAUGAAUGGAUUCACCCGUGAUAUGACGUGGUUGUUCCACUUAGGAUAAGGAUGUGACAUUAUUAUCAGCCAUCGCACGAAAUUAAUAGGAUGCCACGUUCUUAUUCUAGGUGAAACAACCACGUCAUCUCACAGUUGAAUCCAUUCAUUGAUACCAUGGUU